rnacentral:tRNA from 1 species
GUCCUUCUUAGUUUAGUGGCUAGAACACUCGGCUGUAGACCGAGGAAUCCCCGGUUCGAGUCCGGGAGGGGGGACA